UAGGUUUAACCUAGGCUUCUGCAGCAGCACAGACUGGGAGCACAGCAAAGCUGCUCGUGUUGAAGAGAAAGAAGUGCUGGGAGAGGCGCUCUGUGCCUCAGACUUUUAGGGUCUGGAUCAUGACCGCGUUUCUGCGCCCAGUCCGUGCUCCGGUAGCGGGGCGCUUCUGCAGCCUUGUCAGGAAGACGAGCUCCAACGUGCUGCCUGCAGCCAAAGGAAAACGCAGAGCAAAUCCCUGCCAGUGGAGCUGGCCUGGUCCUUUCUUCCUGCCCUCUGCCCUUCCCGUCUGAUGUGGUCUGCGCCCCCAGCCCACGGCUCGGGGGAUGGUUACGCCCCACCGUGCCCCUUCCUCCUGGCCCCGUGCAGAAGGGCUGCGCUCAGCCGCAGCUCCGACACCACGGGAGGGGUAAGCUGACACAUUUUGGGUUGUGCUCGCUGCAGGCUGACAGUGCACCCUUGCUCCCAGUGAUUCAGACUGCAGUUUCAGAACAGACUGGAGCCGGGUCUGAACGGCUCAGUCCCUACUCAUAUCUUAUCCUGGUCUCAUGCUUCCACGCGCUCCCCCACCUCAGGCCUUGCGCUUGUGCAGCCCGGCGGUGAGGCAGAGCAGCUCCCCCAGCCGCCGAGGGCUAGGCUGGCCAGCACUGACCCAGAAACACUCGUUUCCACCCAGCCCAGCAAGCUGCUGGAUUCCCACAGCACGGCCAGGCCAGAGCAAAGGAGAAAGAGGUUAGAAACACUCCUGUCAGCAGCAGCGUGAUCUUGAAUCAGCUCGAGCCAACUGCGAAACCUCACCCUCGGUCAACACGAAGCAAUUCAUUAACUCAGCCGCGUAUCCAAGCCCUAAUGCUCUGGCUCCUCGGCCACGCGGGGAAAGCCGCCUGCUCGGCUCCCCCCCGCGCGCUGGGGCUCAGGCUGGAGGGAUGAGGAACGAUCGCGUUUCCUUUCUGUAUCUUUUCCAGCCUGUUCUGGGAAGCUGUGGGAAGGAGCAGUCCCUGCCUUUCUUGCAUCGAUGUUGCCGUGCACUUGCAUGGGCACUGCGUGGGUCCUGAACAAGGGCAGCACGGCGUCCAGCCCUUCACAGGCCUUGAGAACUUCGAGGUAACCCAACGGUACCCACUGCAGGCUCUCCGUUGGGAAACAUCAAAACCAAAGCACACCACACGACGCUUCGCAUCAGCCGUCAGGAAUUUUUACCCACUUCCUGACAGAUUUCCUGAUGGUUCAUUAACAGUGAUUAAUCGGCCUGACCGUUAACCCCCUGCAUUCCUGAGAGAUUAAUCUCGAUGCAAGGCCUCCUGCAUACAUUUUCUUCCCUUUCUGAACCAUCCUACUACAUUUAGUUAUUUGCUGCUUCUAAAAAGAUCAGAGGCAAGCAUUACAGAUGCAUGAAUUCCCCUGGAAAGUUAUCUGGUUUGUGGUGAAGGCUGGAAAUAAAACAUACAACAUUCACAACUCCGCAAUUUUUAUAUGCCAUCUAAAAAGCACAGCUGAAAGUAGAGAUCUGGUAACAUCAGACAGUCCCACUCUGCAUGUUCAAAGCCCCUGUACAGCAGCUGUUUUGGAGGAAGGUAACACUGCUCUCACUUCACAUGACGGGAAACGAACUGAAGUCAAGAAGAAGAAUUUUAGGGACACCCACUUGGACACAUCUGCGGGCUGAACUCAGAGGUCCUGAUCAGCAUGGACUAUAAGAGGAGCCCCACGAUCUACCCAUCCUUUGAAAAUGAGGCACAGCCUGGGAACCCCAAAUGUGAGGCAUCCAAAACUAGUAAGUGGACCUCCUUUCUCCCCCGAGUUGCCCAAAGCUCUGCUAGGCUCUCAGUCAGGACCAGAACAGAGCAGCUCCUGCCUUGCUGCUUACAAGAAGAGCACUGCAAGGUGCCUGCGAGGUGAUGGCUUUCUCUCAGUGCACGCUGAUGAAACCUGGGAGAGAGGACGGGAGAGCUGCCUUGUGCCAGGGAAUUGUAUUCCGGUAUGUCACUCAGCACCGGGGAAGAAAGCUACUCUGUGUCACAAGCCAACUCCAGGAAGCCAACAAAGUAUUCACCCACAGGGAGCACUCUGUUUUCUGAAUCAUCAAAACAAUUCAGUGUGGUGAUGCUCGUAUAAACUCCUUUCAACUCCAGAUAGCAUUAAUGGGAGGUGACAAAGUUCUUUAUUACACAACGGAGUAAGCACACCGAACCAGGAUUCUCAGCUCUGCCUUGACAGCAAUGGCUCCGUGUUGCUGAACCUGUGAGAUUCCCAUCAACCAGACAAUUCACCACUACUCUGACUCCUACGCACCACAGCGAUUCGGGUAUUUUGGCAAGGACCAUUUCUAUUCAGGAUACACUUCUGUGUAAGUUUCCAGUUUAAGCUUCAGUUAGCUUUUGCCUUGGUGCCUGCUUCUUCCUUGGUCUCACAGCUGAGCUAUGAUCUGUGACCUCCUUUCAUUUGAACUGGAAGUUUGUACCUAACAGAGAAACUGAAAAACAGCAAAGGAAACCCUCCACGAAUGUUUUUUUUUUUUUCUUUUUCUCAAGUACAUAUAGGAAGCUUAUGACAUAUAAAACACAGUGCUGCGAAACUCUCCUUACACGUCAGCUCAAUCCAACUCUCCCCAGCGGCACUCUUGCAAAGAACAGCAGAUACAGCAAGACGUGUCAGCAACAGGGACACACGCAGACAUUGCUGCUGACGGGAAGGAGACGGCCUUUCGGCUGAACGUGCUACCGGAGCUGUCGAUACCUUUCCCAAAGUUUGAGCUGGGGUGGAAGCAGAGCCGUGCUGGAAGCUCAGCACUAAAUAUAGCAGCUCCUCAGGAUGAAGGCUGAUUCGUACCUCUCCAACUGGUUUGUCAAGCCUCAGCAACACGCGGCUACUCUCCUGCUCUAAUCACAAGCUCACUUACAUCACUUCCUUGAGAAGCACUUCACUCCCUUCAUUAUUCACACCACACUCGUGCCAACUCGUAAUUUCUUCCCAACAAAGCUCACGCUUAGGUGUUAAUUCACCGAUUUCAGUUAAUGAGCAGAUGAAACUAGAGCCCAAGCCCUGCCCAGACCACAUCACAUCACUCUGAUAGUACGCUGCAAAGACUGGCAGUGGGUUUCCCCACUGAGCUCCCCAGCUAGGAGAGAACCAGCCAAAUUGUCACCAGCUGUGUCACCCAGUGUCACGUCAGGGGCUGACGGGACCUCGGGACCCCACAAUCUAACAGCCAGGGCUAAUUUCCUUUGAAGAGAAGCACAGACAAGAAGUUACGGUUUUAUGAAGGGAAGCAGGUUUGCAUGCCACGGCCCAGCCAGUCCCUGUGUGCUUUUGUUCCCCAUCUACAAAACCGAGUCAAGGCAGAUGGACCCAACACAUGCAGUUCCUCUUGUCACCGGAUACCUAUACACACUUAGGCCACCGACCAAGUCUUCAAAAGCUCAAGUGUGUUUAGCAGGCCUGAAUCAGAAGCAGAAAAUUGCGAUGAGCCAAGCAACUCUCAUCUACACUUAACUGUGAGUCAACUCAAAUGUAGUGAUUUCAGUCAUGUGCCCUUUCACAGUUCAGCUGAACUUCAGAAAAUAAUAGAUGCAGCUUUAAAUAGAUUUACAGUGCAGAUUGCUGAUUUGAGUGUCUGGCAGAUUAAUUUAUUCCUCAUGGUUUUUCUGUUCCAGAAUUCAAUGGAUUCCAUAUUUGUAAACGAGGGAAUGCAGAGGACUAAGUCAGAAAGUGGGCUAUGACUGGAACCAGGCUUAUUUAUUAACCUAUUUUGGUUGCACGUUGAAGAAAGGAAGCUAUUAUGCUGUUGGUUUGUGGGAUGCUAAUGGGCACUCUGGGCAUAAUUACACUGUGUUGGUGCGUGAAUAAACCCCACUGAUAGAUAAGUUUUUCACCCGAAAGUAACUUUUUCUCUUUCCUUGAAAAGGGAAGAUAAAGAAAAAAGAAAGAGAAAGACAAAGGAAAAUGAAGAGGGAAAAGAUGAAAAAGAAAAAAGAAUGAGAAUAAAAAGAAAAAAGGAAGUAAAAAGAAAAAAAAAUAAGAAAAAGGGAAAAAGAAAA